GUGGGACUUUAAGGAAGGUCUAUUGGUAGUGGGGGGGGACCUGAACAUCUCAUUGGACGGCCAACUAGACACAUCCGCAACAUCUAGCGCGUACCUAGAGCCCACUCGUAGCCGAAUACUCGAUAUCCUACAUGAGACCAGACUGUAUGACAGCUGGAGGGCAAUGCAUCCCACUGGUAGAGAUUACUCAUUCUACUCCACAACUUCCGGCACUUAUACUAGAAUAGACAUGUUACUCUUGCCACAUGAUUACCUCAAUUUGAUAAAAUCAGCAUCAUAUGGUCCUAUCACAUGGUCAGACCAUGCCCCACUGACCCUAGAUAUAACGAUACCCUUGCUAAACAGGGCCGCCCCACAAUGGAAAC